CCUAAGCGAUACGUUGAGUGACGUGUCCACACAGAUUGUCUGAUAAUUGUCACGAGCAAGAAAAACCUGCUAUAGGCUUGUAGCUCAGGUGGUUAGAGCGCACCCCUGAUAAGGGUGAGGUCGGUGGUUCAAGUCCACUCAGGCCUACCAGUUCUGCUUAUUUCCGUGGGUUCCCGUGAUGAGGAGGGCAGCAUGUUGCCGACAGGCGGCAUGAGAGGCUGUGCGUCAGGGGGGCGAAGAAGGCGAGACUGGCUGUCGUACUGUAACGUCGCGGUGCGGUAUCGGGUUUACCGGCAGGUAAACGGUAUCGUCGCGGGUGAGCGACGGCAUAUGCAAGGUAAACGACUUGGGGCUAUAGCUCAGCUGGGAGAGCGCCUGCUUUGCACGCAGGAGGUCAGCGGUUCGAUCCCGCUUAGCUCCACCAUUUCGCUGUGGAGUCGGGUUUGGUCAUUUGUGGGUAUGAGAAGGUUUUUUUUGCUGUAGUGUUAUUUCAGAGCGCGUUUAUCAAGCGCGCUGCGAAAUACCGCUCUUUAACAAUCCGGAACAAGCUGAAAAUUUGAAACACAUGCUGAAGUGCAAACUCAGUAUGCGAGUCUCUCAAACGAAGUAAGCAAACCUGAGGUAACGCGCAAGCGUUAUCACUGUAGCGUGCAGACAGCUCAGGGUUGUGA
rnacentral:misc_RNA from 1 species